rnacentral:rRNA from 1 species
UACGUAGGGUGCAAGCGUUGUCCGGAAUUAUUGGGCGUAAAGAGCUCGUAGGCGGUUUGUCGCGUCUGCUGUGAAAACUCAGGGCUUAACCCUGAGCCUGCAGUGGGUACGGGCAGACUAGAGUGUGGUAGGGGAGAUCGGAAUUCCGGGUGUAGCGGUGGAAUGCGUAGAUAUCGGGAGGAACACCUGUGGCGAAAGCGGCGCACUGGACCACUUCUGACGCUGAGGCGCGAAAGCUAGGGGAGCAAACAGG